CCACCUUUUCUUUUGGGUGAACAGUGUCACAGCUUUUUGUCAAUCCAGUUUAUUUGUCUCUUUAUUAUCC